rnacentral:tRNA from 1 species
GCUGGGAUCUCCUAGCCUGGUAUGGAGCCAGCCUGCUAAGCUGGUGUGCCUAAGCACGCGGGGGUUCGAAAGGCCUUUACCUUCUGGUAGGCCCGAAUAUCCCCCUCCCAGCGCCA